ensembl:lncRNA
CUGAUUUUACACAACCCCCAAAAUGUAGCACCUUUGAUAAAACAAAUCAUGUGUUAUUAAAUAUCCAUUUAAUUUGACCCUUGUAUGACUAAUUGGAUUGUAUGACCAUACAAGGAUUGUAUCCUUGUAUGACGAAAGGAUUGUUGCUGGAGCUCCAGUACUUUGGCCACCUGAUGCAAAGAGCUGACUCAUUGGAAAAGACUCUGGUGCCAGGAAAGAUGGAGGGGAGGAGGAGAGGGGGGCAACAGAGGAUGAGAUGGUUGGAUGGCAUCACUGACUCAAUGGACAUGUAUUUGGCAUAUUCUGGGAGAUAGUGAAGGACAGGGAAGCUUAACAUGCUGUGGUCCAUGGGGUUGUAAAGAGUCAGGAAUGACUUAGUGACUGAGUAACAGCAAUAUGGUUAAUUCAUUUGGAUAUUUUCUGGCUUUUCCUUUAUAUCAACUUCAUGGAAAAUGUCUGGUAAUAAGUUACUUACACCAGUUUACAAAAGUGAAACUAAAGCAUGGAGAAUUGAAGGAGAUAGGGAAACAGUGUGAAGAGACCCUGCCAGGAGGCAGUGGGGUGGAUAGGAUGCUGGUGAUUUGCUGGAGCAUAAUUUAUUCAGAGCAUCCGUGCGUAUUGUUGGCCUUUAGGAGAAAUGGUGGAAACAGGAGAGAGUCAUGUGCAUAUGCAAAAUUUGAAAACUGGAGAAAUGAAUUGGGAUUAGAUAUUAGAAAACCUAACAUACCAAUCUAAAACCCUGGGGUGCGACCCGAUGAGAAUGCACCAGCUGGGAGCUCUCCACCAAGCAAAGCUGGGCUGGCGUGCAUCUGUGAUGGUAGUUCUGUGUCAAGGCAGGAGGUACCCCUGUCAGGAGACACCCCUCUGCUCCCAGAGUCAGGGCUGGGAGUGACAGAGCUUCAGCAGGUGCAGCAAGGAGCAGUGAGAUCUGGAAUCAUCCACAUAGAAUAAGAAUUAAUGUUCCCUCUCCAUGCAGAGGAGUUCUCUAAGUGCUGGGUGACCCAUCUUGACACUGAGGAGCCAAGAAGAACUGGAGGGAAUGAAAUGGACCACAGCCAGUCAGCCCCAUGGGAGUCCACAAGACUGCUCUCUCUGCUGCGAUUCCUUUGUUCUCAGAGUCAUGAAACAUAGGAUGCAGAAAUAAGGGAAACAGGGAAAACGAAUGUGCCCUGGAUUCAGCAGACGCCAUCAUCAGUGGAUGACAGCCCACGUUCUCAGGGUAGAACACCACUGGACCAGCACCACCUGCAUGCCUGCCUGUGGGCGGUGUGACCGUCAGCCCGGCCGGGGAGCCAUGGACAGAUGAGACGUGAGGAAGCAUCUAGAACAUGGAAUUUCAUCUCACUUUAACCUCAGUACCUGAUCUGCUGGUGUUCAAAUAAUCAUAAAUGGAAUAAAACUUCAUAGUAGUGAACAGAGAAGGGAGCUGUGACCUCUCAGCCAGUGUCAAAGGCGCAGUUUCAUGGUUCACAGCUCUGUCGGGGAGAGGAGAAAAGUCUUCUGACUCAGGAAAUGUGGAGCAUGGCAUCCCGAGGGCAGAUGUCCCAGUGAAAUAUUGGGGUAUGUGGCUUCUAAUGUGAAUAUUCUUAUUAGGAUUUUGACUGUUUGGCUCCAAAUGGCAUUGGUUUCAAUGUGUUUUGAUAUCCAGUUAUGCAACCUUUUGUCAUGAUUACAUUAGAUGAUUCUAUUUAUUACAAAAGAAACUUAGGGAAAUAGCAGUAGAGAUGAAAAAAAAAUUUUUUUAAUGACUCUGAG